rnacentral:rRNA from 1 species
GGUCAAGUUAUUAAGGGUGCAGGGCGGAUGCCUUGGCACUAGGAGCCGAUGAAGGACGUGAUAAGCUGCGAUAAGCUUCGGGGAGUUGCACGUAAACUUUGAUCCGAAGAUUUCCGAAUGAGGAAACUCACUUAGAGUAAUGUCUAAGUAUCAUUAAGUGAAUACAUAGCUUAAUGAGGGGAACUCAGGGAACUGAAACAUCUAAGUACCUGAAGGAAGAGAAAGAAAUUCGAUUCCGUAAGUAGCGGCGAGCGAACGCGGAUUAGCCCAAACCAAUAAAGUUUUCUUUAUUGGGGUUGCGGACAUAUCAUAACGAAGAGGUAUCGUAAUUGAAGAGGUUUGGAAAGACCCACCACAGAAGGUAAUAGUCCUGUAUGUUAAACGAGAAGACUUUAGAUAUGAUCCAGAGUACCACGGGACACGUGAAACCCUGUGGGAAGCAGGAGGGACCACCCUCCAAGGCUAAAUACUACCUAGUGACCGAUAGCGUAUAGUACCGUGAGGGAAAGGUGAAAAGAACCCCGGGAGGGGAGUGAAAUAGAACCUGAAACCCUGCACUUACAAGCUGUGGAAGCACAUUUCUUGUGUGACCGCGUACUUUUUGUAGAACGGGCCAACGAGUUACGUUAAGUAGCAAGGUUAAGCACUUAAGGUGUGGAGCCGUAGCGAAAGCGAGUUUUAACUGAGCGUUCAGUUACUUGACGUAGACCCGAAACCGGGCGACCUACCCAUGAGCAGGAUGAAGCGAAAGUAAAAUUUCGUGGAGGUCCGAACCCACGAGCGUUGAAAAGCUCGGGGAUGACUUGUGGGUAGCGGUGAAAUUCCAAUCGAGCCCGGAGAUAGCUGGUUCUCCCCGAAAUAGCUUUAGGGCUAGCCUCAAGGUGAGAGAUACGGAGGUAGAGCACUGAAUGUCCUAGGGGGUAUUGCACCUACCGAAGACUAUCAAACUCCGAAUGCCGUCAUCUUAUACUUGGGAGUCAGACUGUGGGUGAUAAGAUUCAUAGUCGAAAGGGCAACAGCCCAGAUCGUCAGCUAAGGUCCCUAAAUGUAAGUUAAGUGGUAAAGGAUGUGGGAUUGCACAGACAACCAGGAUGUUGGCUUAGAAGCAGCCACUCAUUCAAAGAGUGCGUAAUAGCUCACUGGUCGAGUGAUCCUGCGCCGAAGAUUUCCGGGGCUAAAACUUACUACCGAAGCUACGGCAUCAGUAAUGAUGGGUAGGGGAGCUUCCCAUACGGGUUGAAGCAUGACCGUAAGGACAUGUGGACAGUAUGGGAGUGAGAAUGUUGGCAUGAGUAGCGAGAUGUGGGUGAGAAUCCCACAGGCCGUAAACCCAAGGUUUCCAGGGGAAGGUUCGUCCGCCCUGGGUUAGUCGGGACCUAAGCUGAGGCCGAAAGGCGUAGGUGAUGGACAACAGGUUGAUAUUCCUGUACUACCGAUAACCGUUUGAGAGAAGGGAUGACACAGUAGGAUAAGCUAAGCACACUGUUGGUUAUGUGUGCCCAAGCAUUGAGGCAGUCAAAGUAGGCAAAUCCGCUUUGAUAAUGCUGGGAUGUGAUGGGGAGCGAAAUUUAGUAGCGAAGUAGCUGAUUUCACACUGUCAAGAAAAGUCUCUAUCGAGGUUAAAGAUACCCGUACCGCAAACCGACACAGGUGGGUGAGGAGAGUAUCCUAAGGCCAGCGAGAGAACUGUUGUUAAGGAACUCGGCAAAAUGACCCCGUAACUUAGGGAUAAGGGGUGCCACCAUCAGGUGGCCGCAGAGAAUAGGCCCAAGCGACUGUUUACCAAAAACAUAGGUUUCUGCUAAGUCGCAAGACGAUGUAUAGGAGCUGACGCCUGCCCGGUGCUGGAAGGUUAAGGGGAUCUGUUAGAGCAAUCGAAGCAGUGAACUUAAGCCCCAGUAAACGGCGGCCGUAACUAUAACGGUCCUAAGGUAGCGAAAUUCCUUGUCGGGUAAGUUCCGACCCGCACGAAAGGCGUAACGAUUUGGGCACUGUCUCAACAACAGACUCGGUGAAAUUGUAAUUCCGGUGAAGAUGCCGGAUACCUGCGACAGGACGGAAAGACCCCAUGGAGCUUUACUGUAGCUUGACAUUGGGUCUUGGUACUACAUGUACAGGAUAGGUGGGAGGCUUUGAAACCAGGACGCCAGUUUUGGCGGAGCCAUCCUUGGGAUACCACCCUUGUAGUACUGGGACUCUAACCAUAGGCCAUGAAUCUGGUCUUGGGACACUGUCAGGUGGGCAGUUUGACUGGGGCGGUCGCCUCCCAAAAGGUAACGGAGGCGCUCAAAGGUUCUCUCAGUACGGUCGGAAAUCGUACGUAGAGUGUAAAGGCAAAAGAGAGCUUGAUUGCAAGACAUACAGGUCGAGCAAGGAUGAAAAUCGGACUUAGUGAUCCGGUGGUUCUGCGUGGAAGGGCCAUCGCUCAACGGAUAAAAGCUACCCUGGGGAUAACAGGCUUAUCUCCCCCAAGAGUCCACAUCGACGGGGAGGUUUGGCACCUCGAUGUCGGCUCAUCACAUCCUGGGGCUGUAGUAGGUCCCAAGGGUUGGGCUGUUCGCCCAUUAAAGUGGUACGCGAGCUGGGUUCAGAACGUCGUGAGACAGUUCGGUCCCUAUCCGUCGCAGGCGUAGGAAAUUUGAGAAGACCUGUCCUUAGUACGAGAGGACCGGGAUGGACG